GUGGUGGUUGUAAAAGAAGAUUUUGGGGUUUGACAUCUCGAUGAAUUAAAGAACGCGAUCGUAAAAAUUGGAGUGCAGAAGCAAGUUGUUGGGUAAAAUGCCGAACCAACGUCUCAUUCAAUCCAGCCUUGUAAACUGGCGGAUGAUCGAUGUUGAUCCAGGCUAAGGAGGGAAUACUGUUAAACUUUUCUCGCUUUCGAAUAAAAUAACUCAAAUCUCCUAGGGAGCAAUACUCCAUGACCAGGUGAAUGAACCGCCCAGCCUUAAUACAGUCUAUCAGUUCCACAACAUGCACAUGACGGAUCUCUUUAAGGAUUGAAAUUUCACUUUCUAAAUUCUCCAAAAGUUUCUUAGUAAGCUUCUUUGUCAAUACGCUUUUAAUAGAGAUCACUCGAUUCGUUUCCUGCAACACGAUUAGCCACCAAAUUCCAUUGAAACAGACAAGCAGUUGCUUCUUUUACUUACCGUGUGCUUUCCUUUAUACACAAUUGCGAAAGAUCCACGUCCAAUUUCCGAUCGAAUGACAUAGGGACCAAUUGUUUGAUUUGUACUCGUCUGUAAGUUCAUACAGCUUCUGGUUCACGAUAAGACAGGUGUAAGGGUUUUAGCUGCCUUUAUACUCACUUUGAUAGCAUGGGAGUUGGCAAGGAUAGCGGGUCGCCAUUGAUAAUAUAGCUGCGUAAAAGGCACUUUCCGCACUGGGCUUUAAUACCUUAAAAUAAAUUGCGAUCGUGGUGCGGCUGUAAAAGGUAACAGGAGAUAUGGUUUCGGGAUAACAAGUUUUAUGGGAGUAAGCACUAUGAAUAGAAUGCGAGUUUAUAGAGGAAAUUGUAUUAACUCAAUGAAUUAUAAUAUUUUACACACAUAUACCUGCUGGUAGUGUCUAAAUUCUUUGAAAUUGUUCCCUUUUUGUGCAGCUGAAAAAUGCCGAAAGUGGGUUAAGACGAAAUAAAUGUGUUAAUUUUUGCCAUGUCAGUUACCGAUUUGAGUACGGAAAGCAAGUGUGUGUGGAAUUAGAGGAUAAGAACGGAAGUAGAUAAUACUCCAGACGAAGCGUAGAUACCCGCGAAAAGGCAAAUUAGUUGGAAAAGGCGAUUGUCAUGGAUAGAGUGAUCGAGGCAGAUGAAAAUGCAAGUGUAAAUAGAGGGUAAAUUUGGAUAAAAAACCGGCGGCAGAUGUACAACUUGUACCACUGUACCAGUUUCAUGCCAUAUAGAAAUAAUAUAAAAAAAAAAAGUAAACUGGAUUUAAAAGACAAAAAAAAAAGAAAAGAAGGAGCCUACAGCACCCCGGAUUCCCAUGUUGUCUCCAACCAUAGUACUAACGAGGCCCUCAGACGCUUAACUGCAGUGAUCGGACGGGAACUGGUGUUUUCGCCUAGGUAUGGCCGUAGACAUUUGUUGUGUUAAAUAAUAAUAUUUAUGGUUGAAGAAAAGAAUAUCAUUUUUUUUAUGCAGUGUGAGUUUUGGCUCAAACGCAUGUAUAUAAUACUACAAAACAGGGAAUUGGGCAAUGACUAGUAUUCAAACAUGCCCUGAGGACUUGAAGACCAUAAUGGAAGGUAAGAACUCUCUUGCAGAAAAUUAAAAGAAAAUUUCCAAUCAUAAUAUGUUGCUUUUCUCUUUAUUGAUAUAUACGAGAUUGGUUGUGGAAUCCAAAUUUCUAAAACAGACUUUAAAGUCAAC
rnacentral:lncRNA from 1 species